AACAAGGAACUUGAGAAGUAAGCACAAGGGCAUGGACACUUUAUGUGCUAUGAUUCUUCACUUACAAAUUGUUGUAUGAAGAAAUGAGAGUUGCCUUGAACAACUCUUGAAAGUUUGUAAUUGUGUUUAGAACAUAAUGGUUGGUUGACAAAAAUAGUCCAUCAACAUGGACUUAUGAUGAUUUUGAAUCAUUGAGUGUUGAAGUGUUAAACCACUUCUAGAGGGGGAAACUAGGCAAGGACUUCACUUUUGUGUCCCUAUCCAAAUGGUUCACUAAGUUUAUUGUAAACUAUAUAGUGAACAAUAACCACACGCUCUCCAAAUUGUUUGAUGUAUAUAACACAAUUGAAAUAAGUUUCAAGAGAGAUAGUGGGAGUUUAGGGACCAUGACUAUUGUAGUCAAAGGAGAAGUCAAAUGAAGAAGGUGAAAUAACUCCAAGGGAACAAACUUUCUUUAUGAAAGGAUGGACAUUGGAAGGGAUAUUUGCAAGAAAUGUCUUGCAAGUGUCAAGAACACAUCUUUCGAAGGUGUUGUAAAUUGUUCUUAAAUAGUUCAAAACAGUUGGUUCUUCUACUUGAAUGCUUGAUUCCGUAUUAGUAACUAUGUUUUACAAUCGUUGUAAAAGUGUGGCUAAUAAGAAGUAGAAGAUUAAUGAGAGAAGAGAAAGUACUUCACAUUUGGAACGUGAAUCAAAUGUAGAUCUCUGCGAAAGCAGGUAGUACUUGCUUCCUCAUAUGAACUACCAAAGAAAUGGAAAAACAAAGAUUGUCUUUACAUUCCAAUUGAAUAAAGGAACUUAAUUCCGUAUGAGAAAUGGAU
rnacentral:lncRNA from 1 species